rnacentral:tRNA from 1 species
GGGGUCCCCGGCGGCCAGGUCUUCGCGGGAUGCCGCAUUCUGCGGAGGGUGCGCCGGAGGUCGUGCGAACGAUUAACCCGGUGUACCGGGUCCUCGUGCUCGGGUAGGUUCAGGGGGCGAUGGAGGGUGGCUGGCGGGCCUGGCCCCGAUUUGGGAGCCGCUGGGCGGAUGGGUUAACCUUGCUCGUCGCUACGCGGGGCUAUAGCUCAGUCGGUUAGAGCGCAGAGCUGAUAACUCUGAGGUCGCUGGUUCGAUUCCAGCUAGCCCCACCGCACAUGGUCCGACGGCACGUCGAGCGUAAGGGGCAGCCCCGAUGUUCAAGAAGCUGUUGAUCCUGGUCGGUGUCGUCGGCGUGGCCGCGGUGGUGGCCAAGAAGGUCAAGGAAGCCAACGACGAGCGCGCCCUCUGGCACGAGGCGACCACCUCGCCGGACCUGCGCUGACGGCGUUCGUUGCCGACCUGCGGCGGUAACGCCGCUAAGGGGCCCUAGCUCAACUGGCAGAGCACUGCCUUUGCAAGGCAGGGGUUAGGGGUUCGAGUCCCCUGGGCUCCACCA